rnacentral:tRNA from 1 species
GUUACUUUGGCAGAUUAGUGCGAUUGAUUUAGAAUCUUUAAAUGUAUUUUUUACAGGUAAUA